CACCAUGAUGAUGUCUCUGACUCUACUGCUGGCCACCCUGGGGCUCCUUGUUCAGGGUUCAUCAGGUCAAAUCACUGUGACUCAGACUCCUGGAGCGUUGUCUGUUGCUGCAGAACAGACUGUUACUAUCAAAUGUAAAGUUAGUCCCAGUACUAGUUACUGUUUCAGCUGGUACCUUCAGAAACCAGGAGAAGCUCCUAAACUCCUCAUCUACUGCUCUUCAACCCGUCAGUCUGGAGUCUCUGACAGAUUCAAUGGAGCAAAGUCAGGAAACACUGACUUCACUCUGACCAUCAGCAGAGUCCAGGCUGAAGAUGCAGGAGAAUAUUACUGUCAGAGUGCACAUUACAUUAACAGUAAAGAUGUGUUGACACAGUGAUAAACCGUCGUACAAAAACCUCCCUCAGUCAAAGUGAACAGAAACUGAUCUCACU